AAUUUUGAACUGCUCUACGGACCCACACGUGCAGCAUGAACUAGUCACGAUCACGACACGCGUCGAUCACGUGACACCGGCGUUUUUUAUUAGUUGUAUGGUUACCAUGGAAUUUUAGACCCAACAUAGAACUUCUGCUCGGAGGCUAAAGCGCAGUUUGCACAGUGUUGGGUCAUUCUAUGGUAAGGAUGGUGAGGCUGGUGAGAAACACAGCAGGAACGGUAGGAAAGGAAACUUUUAAAUCUUAUUAAGCAUUAGGAUAGAAUAGACGAUCCGCUUUUUGGUAAUGUGUGAUAAUGUUAUGUGAUAAAUAAUUAACAUGUUUUGGAGAUUAUUAUGCAUUGUGUAAAUGGACCUAAAAAAGAAGGUGUAAAGGCUAAAUGGUUUUGGAAAACAUAACGCUAACAAAUAAUCAGAAGUAUCGUAGGACAUAUAAAUAUAUCUAAAUACUAUUGGAAAUUACACGUGAAUAGCUUGUUUUAAACAACCCAAAACCUUUCAACAAACCUGCAAAAUAAUAUUUUUAUCAAAACGAGUUCACCUUGAAUUGUCACCGUUGUGCCUUUACAUAUUUUUUUUAUAUGAACAGUAAAACGCGGAUCCCAAAAAUCUUACAGUUCGGGGCAUCUGCCUUAAACGGUGACAUGCAACGAACAGCAGUUCUAGUUUAGAAACGGUUUUUAUUAAAUGUCGUGACUGGUCUGGACGUACACACAGACAGACGUUUAGAAAUGACACUUUGAACUGCCCCAAAACUGCUGAUGUUUCCCCUGCCCAUCUACCCUCAUCGGCUGAGGCCUCUCACCAACCCCCGGUCAAAGUUUUUUGUUACCGCCCCGCUAGUAAAGAUCCACUGAUUCUAAUAAUCCACUUCGUAUUUUCCCGCUCACAAUCUGUUUCCAAACAGACAAAAAACAAUGUCUUCACAAAACAAAUAGAGGAAAGGGAGGCUGCUAAAGGCAGUUCAACAUUGCAAACAUGGAUUCAAAGCUCCAUCAAGCCAGCAGAUUCAUGUGAUGGAGUGUGGUGUGCCCUAUGCAGCUCAUGGAUUGAGGCACAGUGCGGGCACAGGCUGCGGUUUACCCCAGGUUUUCAGUAGUGAGGUUAGUCGUACGUGCACUGUAAGGUGAGUGGGUCGGGAAAAGGCAUGCAUCUAAUGGUAAUUACACCUUGUUUUCUAAUAUCACUGUUUUCGAUAAUAUGCUAAUCAAUUGACAUGUUUACUUCAUAAUUCGUAAAUUAUGUGUUUGCUGCGUUUUUUGCUGGACGUCCAGGGCUGAGUUCCAUGCCAUGGCGUCGGGCUGUCGAACGAGUUCCAGAACAAGCUCCAGCCAAUAUCGUAGCCAAUGGUGUCAUGCUUUUCCGAACAAGUUCCAGAACGAGCUCCGGCCCAUGCCGUCGGGCUGUUGAUUCGAGUUCCAGAACGAGCUAAGGCCCAUGCCGUCGGGCUGUGGAGAGAGUUCCAGGCCAUGCGGUCGAUCUGUCAAACA